rnacentral:rRNA from 1 species
CAGUAGCCGCGGUAAUACGGAGGGUGCAAGCGUUAAUCGGAAUUACUGGGCGUAAAGCGCACGCAGGCGGUUUGUUAAGUCAGAUGUGAAAUCCCCGAGCUUAACUUGGGAACUGCAUUUGAAACUGGCAAGCUAGAGUCUUGUAGAGGGGGGUAGAAUUCCAGGUGUAGCGGUGAAAUGCGUAGAGAUCUGGAGGAAUACCGGUGGCGAAGGCGGCCCCCUGGACAAAGACUGACGCUCAGGUGCGAAAGCGUGGGGAGCAAACAGGAUUAGAUACCCGUGUAGUCCCUGUCUCUUAUAC